UGUAAUGAUGAAGUACUGGAACACAUCACAUUUUUUACCCAACUGUAAAACCUGCUCAUACAUGUUUAGCAUUCCAUCAUCUGAUAUUGUGUUUACCGACUGGAUAUACCCAAAAGGUGUAUGUAUAAAAGAGGACUUUCAUCAUUCAUGUCAGUUCAAAGGAACUCAGAACAGUCAAAAUGGUGAAUUAUAAAGUGACUGUUUCCACCUCCGGACCGCUGGAUCACAGACAGCGAGGUGCAAUGCUUCAGAGAAGGAACAGUUUCAGGGGAUGCCUCGUUUUCGUCCGAGUAUGACUCCUCUCUGUCCCCUUCGUCAAUGGAUGCCUCAGUUGGAAGUGCGAGCAGAGUCUCAGGCGCAGUGACUGUUGCUGGUGUGGUGGAACUGGAUGGCUGGUCAAGGUUGUGCCGGUGGAACUCCCUGAUAAGCCGGGGUUCAAGGAUGUGUCGAUGUUGGGACCCAGGAUCUCUCUUCUGUAUAUAAACUUCCUGGUCAAACCGAUAUUGCAGGCCUCUCCAACAGCUACCUGAACGAAGCAACGGCAAAUUGUGUAGGUUGGUCCUCCAUCUUUCAUACGAGACGGUGGUGGAGGUGUAGCAUCACCAAAUAUGUAUUAUUGAGAAGAAGAUGAUCAUGACGUGACAAUCGUUUUCAGAACCAUUUCUGGUCUCCAUUCUUCCAGCCUAUGGGAAAUUGUGCUGGCCAACCCUAGCACAAUAUGUUAUAUGUUUUAGCAUCUACUAGGAUCUAGUUAGUGUUGUGUUGUACCCACUGCAUUCAGAAAUUAGCUCAAAUUAAAAACACUUCUUACUAAUGUACAGUACAAUAUAACCUUUAACAAGGUCUUCAGUAAUAAACAAAUAAUCAAAUUAACACAUUUCUGACAAUGUCAAAAAACAUCAUAAAAGUUAUGAAAAGGUUAAAGUGUAUGGAAGAGCUGGUGCACUAUAUUGCAUUACAUGUUUGUGUU